CCCUUAGAUGUUCUGGGCCGCACGCGUGCUACACUGAGUAAAUCAAUGGGUAAGGGAACACGAAAGUGCAACCUAAUCUUGAAAUUUGCUCGUGAUGGGGAUCGACGGUUGCAAUUUUCCGUCGUGAACGAGGAAUACCUUGUAGGCGCGUGUCAUCAUCACGCGCCGAAUACGUCCCUGCCCUUUGUACACACCGCCCGUCGCUCCUACCGAUUGGAUGGUCCGGUGAAGCCUCGGGAUUGUGGUUCUUGCCGCUUUAUUGUGGCGUGACCGCGAGAACUUGUCUAAACCUUAUCAUCUAGAGGAAGGUGAAGUCGUAACA
rnacentral:rRNA from 1 species